rnacentral:rRNA from 1 species
UNCCAUGUGUAGCGGUGAAAUGCGUAGAUAUAUGGAGGANCACCAGUGGCGAAAGCGGCUCUCUGNUCUGUCACUGACGCUGAGGCUCGAAAGCGUGGGUAGCGANCAGGAUUAGAUACCCUGGUAGUCCACGCCGUAAACGAUGAGUGCUAGGUGUUAGGCCCUUUCCGGGGCUUAGUGCCGGAGCUAACGCAAUAAGCACUCCGCCUGGGGAGUACGACCGCAAGGUUGAAACUCAAAGGAAUUGACGGGGGCCCGCACAAGCGGUGGAGCAUGUGGUUUAAUUCGAAGCAACGCGAAGAACCUUACCAGGUCUUGACAUCCCGAUGCUAUUCUUAGAGAUAGGAAGUUACUUCGGUACAUCGGAGACAGGUGGUGCAUGGUUGUCGUCAGCUCGUGUCGUGAGAUGUUGGGUUAAGUCCCGCAACGAGCGCAACCCUUAUUGUUAGUUGCCAUCAUUAAGUUGGGCACUCUAGCGAGACUGCCGGUAAUAAACCGGAGGAAGGUGGGGAUGACGUCAAAUCAUCAUGCCCCUUAUGACCUGGGCUACACACGUGCUACAAUGGUCGGUACAACGAGUUGCGAGCCGGUGACGGCAAGCUAAUCUCUGAAAGCCGAUCUCAGUUCGGAUUGGAGGCUGCAACUCGCCUCCAUGAAGUCGGAAUCGCUAGUAAUCGCGGAUCAGCACGCCGCGGUGAAUACGUUCCCGGGCCUUGUACACACCGCCCGUCACACCACGAGAGUUUGUAACACC